rnacentral:antisense_RNA from 1 species
GAAAGCACGACAUUGCUCACAUUGCUUCCAGUAAUACUUGAGCCGGCUUGGGUGCCGGCUUUUUUUU